rnacentral:rRNA from 1 species
GCGGUUUUGCGGMGGACUACACAUGCAGUCGAGCGGCAGCGGAAGUAGCUUGCUACUUUGCCGGCGAGCGGCGGACGGGUGAGUAAUGUCUGGGAAACUGCCUGAUGGAGGGGGAUAACUACUGGAAACGGUAGCUAAUACCGCAUAACGUCGCAAGACCAAAGAGGGGGACCUUCGGGCCUCUUGCCAUCAGAUGUGCCCAGAUGGGAUUAGCUAGUAGGUGGGGUAACGGCUCACCUAGGCGACGAUCCCUAGCUGGUCUGAGAGGAUGACCAGCCACACUGGAACUGAGACACGGUCCAGACUCCUACGGGAGGCAGCAGUGGGGAAUAUUGCACAAUGGGCGCAAGCCUGAUGCAGCCAUGCCGCGUGUAUGAAGAAGGCCUUCGGGUUGUAAAGUACUUUCAGCGGGGAGGAAGGCGAUAAGGUUAAUAACCUUGUCGAUUGACGUUACCCGCAGAAGAAGCACCGGCUAACUCCGUGCCAGCAGCCGCGGUAAUACGGAGGGUGCAAGCGUUAAUCGGAAUUACUGGGCGUAAAGCGCACGCAGGCGGUCUGUCAAGUCGGAUGUGAAAUCCCCGGGCUCAACCUGGGAACUGCAUUCGAAACUGGCAGGCUAGAGUCUUGUAGAGGGGGGUAGAAUUCCAGGUGUAGCGGUGAAAUGCGUAGAGAUCUGGAGGAAUACCGGUGGCGAAGGCGGCCCCCUGGACAAAGACUGACGCUCAGGUGCGAAAGCGUGGGGAGCAAACAGGAUUAGAUACCGUGGUAGUCCACGCCGUAAACGAUGUCGACUUGGAGGUUGUGCCCUUGAGGCGUGUCUUCCGGAGCUAACGCGUUAAGUCGACCGCGUGGGGAGUACGGCCGCAAGGUUAAACUCAAAUGAAUUGACGGGGGCCCGCACAAGCGGUGCAGCAUGGUGGUUUUAAUUCGAUGCAACGCGAAAACCUUACCUACU